rnacentral:lncRNA from 1 species
GUGUAUGGCAUUAUAAUACAUAAUUUAUUUGUGAAAAAAGAGACCCUGAGUAAAAAAUAAAAAUGAAUUAUUAUACAAGAUGUAGAUGUAUUUGCUAGGCAUCAUGAGAAGAUUUGUAUGUCCAAAUAGGUAGUUAUAGUCUUAUAGUUUGAUAUUUUUAUAUUUUACUUGUUAUUUUUUUUUUUACUUAUUGUAAUAUUAUUUGAAGGUAUCAAAGACAUGAAUCUCAAAGAAAAAAAUUAUCAAUACACUCUUAUGUCAUUCAAAAAAGACUAAAAAAUUACUUAAAGAUGGUAAUAUAUUAAAUUGGAAUGAUUAUUUCCGAAGACAAGAAGACUAAAAAGCCUUGAAAUAAGACUAAGGAUUAGAAAGACAUUGACAAGAAUAAAAAAA